UUGUGAUGGUCAGUACGUGUCAUCUAAAGAUGAGUCUGUAUGUGCGUCAGACCUUGUCACUUAUAAAACUUGUUGUCAUUUUGCACAAGCCAAAUGUCGAGAUGGACAAAUAGUGAUUAUAUCUGAUAGACCUUGCUCUAAUACAACACAUCUUUUAAAUGCAACAGCUGCUUUUGCUCAAACCUGUGGUACUUUCCAACCACCUGCCGAGAUAACUACAACUAGUACAGCAACGGCCAAUAUUAAAACGACAUCAACAUUAGAUAAUGAUCCUUUUGAUCAUAUAUUCUGUUCUGGUAUAAACAGUGGUGCAAUAACGUGUCCAGACACACUAGAUCCUUACUGUGGGACUGAUGGUAAAUUCUAUCUCAAUAAGUGUGAUUUCCAAACCGCCAGGUGUACCAAUCCGAGUUUAUCGAUACAGCCAAUCAGAUUGUGCAAAGGACCAACGCCUACUCCAAUAGGGUAGCAAAUUAUUGUCGCAGAUUGUACCAAAUACAGCUUUGAUUAAAAUCGGAUACGAUAUAUUA